rnacentral:lncRNA from 1 species
AAACUUCACGUUUUGCCAGCGAAUUCAAUUCUGAUUGAAUUGCUUCUUGCCAUUUUGGCCAAUCAUGUCUUUUUCGACAUUCUCCAACAGAUUGAGGUUUAAGAUCCUCAUUUUCUUGCAUAAUGCUAGAUGCGACAUUAAAAGCCAAGACAUAAUCCACCACUAUAUUCCACUCGAUUAAAAUUUGCCUCAAUAUCGAUUGAUUUAUGGAUAGUUCCUUAUUUUCCUGAGUCUCGGGUUCAAAGGAUUCUUCAUGAAUCUCAGAGUUUAUUAAAUCAUGAAUUUCCUCAUGAGAUUCUUU